rnacentral:rRNA from 1 species
GCUGUAAAACUAGCCUAACCAAAACGCUCAUCGAAAAUAAUUAUCAUGAGAGAAAAAGAAUGUAAAAGUCGAAAUAAAACAUUUUUCCCCCUUAGUACGGGAGACGGAAAAGGGCCCUUAGAGCAAAAGAUGAAGUACCGCAAGGGAAAGUUGAAAAAGAAAUGAAAAACCUUAAAGCAAUGGAAAGCAAAGAUUUACUCUUGUACCUUUUGCAUCAUGAUCAAGCUAGAAAGACUGGUGCAAAAUGCCUUUUAGUACCCUUUCCCGAAACUAAGCGAGCUACCCCGGGGCCGCCUAAGUUAGGGCCUACCCGUCUCUGUGGCAAAAGAGUGGGGAGACCCCCGGGUAGAGGUGACAGACCUACCGAGCUUAGUUAUAGCUGGUUGCUUAUAAAAAGAAUAGAAGUUCAGCCCUUUUCAAUCUAGACUCCCUACCCUACGGAUAGACAGCAAGAUCGCAAAAGGAGUUAAUUAAAGGGGGUACAGCCCCUUUAAUAAAAAAUACAACUUUCUUAGUCGGUUAAAGAUUAUAGAAGCAAAGGAACAUUGCUCUUGUGGGCCUAAAAGCAGCCACCUGGAGAGAAAGCGUUAAAGCUCAAGCAAUGCUCACCCGACUAUCAUAAUAUUUACCUCUGACCCCACUUUUAAUAAUAAGCUAUCUUAUGCCCCCAUAAAAGAAAAUAUGCCUGAACGAGUAAUAAGAGAGCCUAAGUCUCUCUCCCCGCGUAAGUGUAAACCGGCAUGGACUCCCCACCGGAUAUUAACGGCCCCAGUACCAGAGGGAAAAGCCACCUAAAAAAGAAUAACUAGGAAAACCUUCAAGAUGCACCCGUUAUCCCAACACAGGCACGCACAGAGGGAAAGACCAAAAGAGAAGGGAAGGAACUCGGCAAACCAAAGCCCCGCCUGUUUACCAAAAACAUCGCCUCUUGAUUAACAUAAGAGGUCCCGCCUGCCCUGUGACUAAAGUUUAACGGCCGCGGUAUCUUGACCGUGCGAAGGUAGCGCAAUCACUUGUCCUUUAAAUGGGGACCUGUAUGAAUGGCACAACGAGGGCUUAACUGUCUCCCUGCUCCCGUCAAUGAAACUGAUCUCCCCGUGAAGAAGCGGGGAUUCUACUACUAGACGAGAAGACCCUAUGGAGCUUGAAACAAAGGAGGGCCUAUAAAAACCCAACGCAGAAAAACACCAGAGUUGUCUAGCCCCCUCCCUAGUUUUUGGUUGGGGCGACCGUGGAGAAAUAAAAAACCCCCAUGGAGAAAGGGACUACUAAAGCCUAAAACCGAGAGCGGCAGCUCUAAGUAUCAAAACAUUUGACACACGAUCCGGCUCAUAAAGCCGAUCAACGGACCGUAGUUACCCUAGGGAUAACAGCGCAAUCCCCUCCCAGAGCUCAUAUCGACGAGGGGGUUUACGACCUCGAUGUUGGAUCAGGACAUCCAAAUGGUGCAGCCGCUAUUAAGGGUUCGUUUGUUCAACGAUUAACAGUCCUACGUGAUCUGAGUUCAGACCGGAGAAAUCCAGGUCAGUUUCUAUCUGUAGAACUUACCAUCCCUAGUACGAAAGGACCGGGAUGGUGGGGCCCAUGCCUGAGGUACGCCCUUCCCACCACCAAGGAAUUCAAAUCAAAUGAUUAAAGGGAAGACCUUUAAGCCAAAGAGAAUGGCUU